rnacentral:sRNA from 1 species
AGCACAACAGAUCCGAUACUGUCUUCCGUAUUAAAGAGUACCACUGUUCUAACUGUGAAUCAGCAGAAAUGCCACAACGACCUGAAAUUCCAUGGGGGCGUGACUGAAGCCAUGUUCUGUGCGGCAGCUCGUAACACGGAUGCUUGUCAGGGCGACAGUGGUGGUCCAAUCAGUGCUCAAAAUACCCUUAUCGGCAUUGUGUCCUGGGGCGUAGGAUGCGCGGAUCCGUACUACCCGGGAGUCUACACUCGCUUGU